GGAGGAGUGGCCGAGUGGUUGAAGGCGCAGCUCUCGAAAAGCUGUAUACCCGCAAGGGUAUCAGAGGUUCGAAUCCUCUCUCCUCCG
rnacentral:tRNA from 1 species